rnacentral:rRNA from 1 species
AUGGUUGUUGGAUCAUUCAUUACCAGAGCUUUGAUACUUGUUCUUGGAUAUGCAUAUCCAGCUUAUGAUUGUUACAAGACAGUGGAGCUGAAUAGGCCUGAGAUUGAGCAGUUGCGGUUCUGGUGUCAGUACUGGAUUUUACUUGCAAUGCUUACUGUUUUCGAGAGAGUUGGGGAUAAUUUCAUAUCAUGGUUGCCAAUGUAUAGUGAAGCAAAGCUGGCUUUUAUUGUGUAUUUGUGGUAUCCUAAGACACAGGGGACUUCAUAUGUCUAUGAGUCGUUCUUCAAGCCGUAUAUCGCAAAACAUGAAUCUGAGAUUGAUCGCAAUCUUCUUGAGUUGAGGACAAGGGCUAGUGAUAUGGCUGUUACUUACUUCCACAAGGUUGCAGACUACAGCCAGUCAAGGUUCCAUGAGAUCUUGCAAUAUGUUGCUUCUCAAUCACAAAGAUCUCGUUCUCAGGCACAGCAACAGCAGCAGCGUCCACCACCUCCACGGACUCGGAUGGCGAAUCCUGCACCACCACCUGUUCCUGCACCAACGGCACCACCGAUGCCACCACAGCCCGCCCAAGUUCCUCCUACUCCACCAAGGAUGCAGGUGCAAGAUAAGGGCCCAGUUCCAGUUGCCCCUCCUGGCGCAGUGCCUCCUGUGCAGCAACAAACACCUUCCGGUCCUGGCCCUGUCACCGGCAACAGCCCCCCAAACAGUGAAGACAUGCUGGUUGAUCAAUCUGGGCCAUCGACAAGCAACGUGCCACUCCGCCCAACAAUGCCUGAAGACGAGGAGACGCUCAUCCAGGAGGCUAUUCGGUUGACUCGGGGCCGGCUCAGGAGGCGCAUGGGUGGAUCUGGACCUCCAUCCAACUAG